rnacentral:rRNA from 1 species
AUUGAACGCUGGCGGCAGGCCUAACACAUGCAAGUCGAACGAGUGGCGGACGGGUGAGUAAUGUCUGGGAAACUGCCCGAUGGAGGGGGAUAACUACUGGAAAAGGUAGCUAAUACCGCAUACCAUCGGAUGUGCCCAGAUGGGAUUAGCUAGUAGGUGGGGUAACGGCUCACCUAGGCGACGAUCCCUAGCUGGGCUGAGAGGAUGAACAGCCACACGGGGACUGAGACACGGCCCAGACUCCUACGGGAGGCAGCAGUGGGGAAUAUUGGACAAUGGGCGAAAUCCUGAUCCAGCCAUGCCGCGUGUAUGAAGAAGGCCUUCGGGUUGUAAAGUACUUUUAGCUGGGAGGCGUUACUUGCAGAAGAAGCACCGGCUAACUCCGUGCCAGCAGCCGCGGUAAUUC